AUCUGACCCAAUCUGACUGCAUUACACUGGACAUUUCCAUCAGGAGUACCUAUAAGAAAGGGCUAUCAGUCUUGGAGUGCUCCCACAACCUCCCUUUUAUGUACAAUUGUAUAAUAUCCCUGACUAAAUUCGAAAACUAUAGAACCCAUAUGCUGAAUCGAUGAUUGUAAAUCCACUUUCCAUGAAACACACAAUAUCCAUCUGAACUGAAUUUAAAGGUGUAUCUCCCGGUGUCACUUAUCGUGAUUGGCUGGAAGUACAGGAAGUCUUUGUUGCAGGUCACAUGGGGCUGGGAGCAGGCAGUUACUCCAUCUUUGUAAAAAGUGUAAUUAACCACAUUCUGGCCACCAG